UCCUGGUUGACUCAGUUGGUAGAGCUCUCCACUGGAAAUGACGUGGUCCCUGGUUCGAUACCAAGACCAGGCA
rnacentral:tRNA from 1 species